AUUGAACGCUGGCGGCAGGCCUAACACAUGCAAGUCGAACGAGUUGCGGACGGGUGAGUGAUGUCUGGGAAACUGACUGAUGGAGGGGGAUCACUAAUGUAAACGGUAGCUAAUACCGCAUACCCUCGGAUGUGCCCAGCUGGGUUUAGCUCGUAGGUGGGGUAAAGGCUCACCGAGGCGACGAUCCCUAGCUGGUCUGAGAGGAUGAACAGCCACACUGGAACUGAGACACGGUCCAGACUCCUACGGGAGGCAGCAGUGGGGAAUAUUGCACAAUGGGCGCAAGCCUGAUGCAGCCAUGCCGCGUGUAUGAAGAAGGCCGGCGGGUUGUAAAGUACUUUCAGCGGGGAGGCGUUACCCGAAGAAGAAGCACCGGCUAACUCCGUGCCAGCAGCCGCGGUAAUUC
rnacentral:rRNA from 1 species